GUUUAAUGUUAAUUGUCUUAGUGGUUGUUUCGGUGAAUGAUGGCUCUCUUUUCUUGCAGGGUGACGGCAAACUUCUUCAGAGAGGGAGUCUCCCACGCACGGCUUUUCUUUAUCAGGACCGAAGACGCCUUUGAUGAAGGACUGGACCCACUGCUGGAUUUGAGGAUAUCAAAGAACCCUCCACCCCCUCAAGUGCUGAGAUUCCUCUGCCAAAGAGAGGGUGGAAGAUUCCCACUCCAC